rnacentral:rRNA from 1 species
CCUACGGGAGGCAGCAGUGGGGAAUAUUGCACAAUGGGGGAAACCCUGAUGCAGCGACGCCGCGUGAGCGAUGAAGUAUUUCGGUAUGUACAGCUCUAUCAGCAGGGAAGAAAAUGACGGUACCUUACUAAGAAGCACCGGCUAACUACGUGCCAGCAGCCGCGGUCAUACGUAGGGGGCAAGCGUUAUCCGGAUUUACUGGGUGUAAAGGGGGCGUAGACGGCGGUGCAAGCCAGAUGUGAAAGCCCGGGGCUCAACCCCGGGACUGCAGUUGGAACUGGAUGGCUGGAGUGUCGGAGAGGCAGGCGGAAUUCGUAGUGUAGCGGUGAAAUGCGUAGAUAUUAGGCGGAACACCAGUGGCGAAGGCGGCAUGCGGGACGAUGACUGACGUUGAGGCUCGAAAGCGUGGGGAGCAAACAGGAUUAGAUACCCUUGUAGUC